GUUCCUUCCUGCUCUUUAGACACUCAUCCCUUCCCCUCCAUGCAGCCUCCUUUGCCCUGACCUCAGCCUCCCUGCCUCCCGCUGUGGUAUCCCAGAGGCCCUCGGGGCACCAGGCUCCGUCUUCCCCUCCAGCCCCACCUCCACAGGAAAGCCCCCAGACUGCCGCCAAAUACCUCUGCAGAUUGAUUCUUCCCUCCCGCUCAGAUGCAUCCAAAGGCCCCUCGUGGCUUCGCCCCGCUUCCACCGCAGGCCUCGGAAAUACCUGAGAUCCCUGAGCGAGGCCGCCGCUUAUCUGCACCGCCGUGACCCAAGUUCAACACCACAAGGAUCCUCACACCCUGUUUGAAUCAGAGAACCAAGAUGCUGAAGCAGACAGGAGAAGACUGCAAAGGUGGAAGCUGAAUUAGUGAGGAUGACUCCUGCUCCUGUCAUCUCUAAGCUCCUCACACAUCUUUACCUGCACAUGAGGAAAAUCACUCCUGUAGAAUGCAGUGGUUCAUCAGAACCUCUGGGGAUGUCCUGUGGAUUCUGUGGAUCCUGUGGGUUGCAGGGUGGGUCCUACCUAGACCAGGCUGAUCCUGGACCAUCCCACAGAUGCUCCAUCAGAUGUGGAUGUGGGGAGUGUGGAACCCAGAUGCACAAUGAGGGACGUCUGCAGAGACUGAGAAAGAGUCUCACCACAUCCUGACAUGAGGAAAAAGACUUCAUUGAAGACUACAAUGAGAAAAACUAUCAGACAGCAGACGGCUGCAUUCAAGGUGAGAUCUGAACAUUUGAUCUGGAACAGGAAUUCAAUAACGGCAGCAUGAGCUUCAUUUCAGUCUGUAGCUGCUGAAUUCAUGGAUGAAUCAUCUGGUACUAGAGAGGAAGACCAUCAAACAUCCACGUCAGCUGAUGGAGGUCCAAGAGUCUCACCCAACAAACAACCUACAGAGUGAAGACCUCCAAUCUGAUUGGACGGCCUCCUAUUCAGCCACGUGUGAACAAAUGCCUCUAAGCUGAUUUGUUUUCUAAAAUAAAUCUAGUUUGAGUCCUAA